rnacentral:lncRNA from 1 species
CGAGUCGAAGCAUAACAGCUGACGCCAUCAAUUUCACUGAUUUCAAUAACCACUAAUACAAGAUUUGCCAUAAAGCAAACACGCUGGAAACAUAUGUAGCACAGGUAGCUGUAUUUUGUUACGACAAAGAUAGC